UACGAAGGGGGCUAGCGUUGCUCGGAAUCACUGGGCGUAAAGGGUGCGUAGGCGGGUCUUUAAGUCAGGGGUGAAAUCCUGGAGCUCAACUCCAGAACUGCCUUUGAUACUGAGGAUCUUGAGUUCGGGAGAGGUGAGUGGAACUGCGAGUGUAGAGGUGAAAUUCGUAGAUAUUCGCAAGAACACUAGUGGCGAAGGCGGCUCACUGGCCCGAUACUGACGCUGAGGCGCGAAAGCGUGGGGAGCAAACAGG
rnacentral:rRNA from 1 species